GGAUUACCCUAUGGGAAAUUCGGUACCGUGCCCAUGGCGCUGGAAAAAUUUGGCGCUGAGCUCAGUCACUGAAUGGACAAUUACUGUCUGAAGAGAAAUUGUUUAUUAUCAGAAAUUUAAAAAAAUUUAG